ACCCUCCUUCUGACACAGAUAAGCAUCAUCAUUCUUAGUUCGGAUUUAUUUCUCUUUUUCUGUGACAAUACCUGCGACAUGCUUCAACAUCUUCAUUUUGGCAAACCACAAAUAAAUUAAAACACAAACAUUCAAAGAACAUAACGUGAAAGUAUUUUUUAGGAAGUCGGAACGAAAAAUCUAAAUACAGAAAACGUAAAUCAAGAGAACAAGAGAAGAUCAGCAUUUUGCUGUUCGUGUUUUACCCCGUCGUCGUUUUUUCCGUUGUUUUUCUUGAAAAAAAGAUAGUUAGCUACCAAUCACUUACCACAUGCAGAUAUAAUACAACAGAACUGAUUCACCCAGUUAGUGUCUGCAAACUAACGAUCUAAACUAUAUCACAAAAUGAUUCUCUUUAAACCAGCAAACACCCAAUUUGGAGAUAUUUUGUCUUAUAUUAAUUCUUAAUUUUACAGUAGUUUUCUCCUCUCAUCGUAAGCACAGAGAAACACCCACAGCCAACCCUGACUUGACUGUCCCCAACAGAAAAGGAAGAAGACAGUCAGCACUGACUUAGGCCUCAUCCCAUUGGCACCCUAAUUCCUACAUAGGGCUCUGGUCACAAGUAGUGCACUAGAUGGGUAAUACAGUAGGGUACCAUUUUAAAACGUACCCUUUCUCAUGAUUAGAUACCAGAUGGGGAUGUCUUUAACUGUGUCCAAGAGACCGUCACACACGAGACAACCACUCUCACACACAUAUCACCCCCCUGAUGAUGAACAUCGUCUAUAAGGAUGUACUGUAUGAACAUUGCUUUACACACAAUGUAAAACAAAAAGUGAGUUUGUCUAGAACCCCCGACCCAGCAGUGCAGGGUGUGUGUGUGUGUGUGUGUGUGUGUGUGUGUGUGUGUGUGUGUGUGUGUGUGUGUGUGUGAGCAGAGCAGAGCAGGAGGUGUGACGUCAUCACUCUCACUAGUUAUUCAUCUGACAACUCUCUGGUCAAAUGUCACAGCAAUUAGCAACUAGCUCCUUGUGGUGCUCAUUUCCAGCCACAUAUACUGUACAGCAUAACAAGAGGGAUGUUGAAGCUACAGUCCAUUCUGGAUUCCAGCUGACAUUUCGAGGAGCUGGCGGUAAACAUCAAAGUUUGCAUCCCUCUCUCCUUCCCUCUAUUCCUCCCUCUCUUCCUCCCUCUCUCCUUCCCUCUCUUCCUCCCCCUCUCCCCUCUCUCUCCUUCCCCUCUCCCUUCCCCUCUCCCUCCCUCUCUCCCUCCCUCGCUCCUUCCCUCUCUCCCUCCCUAUCUCCCUCCCCCCUCCAGACAUUAAUCAGGAGCUCACUGAGACACAGUCAUCUCUCAGAGGGCACUUGCUUAUUAUUCCACCACUCCAUCCUCGCCAGAGUUCUGCUCUGUCCAUCCUAAUUUAGGGAUGUUAUCAUCACACACAGCCACGCUGGCAGGUGUGUGUGUGUGCACGCGAGCCAACGCUAAAUGCUGAGUGUGCAUGUGAUGUACCAAUGCACACACCUUUCAGGGGCCUGAUUAUUAGCUUGACCAUCUGGUACCUAAAUCAUGGAUUAUGAAUUAUAGCUGCUGGUCUUCAUCUAUACAUGAUAAUGUGACCAGAGAGAGAGAGAGAAAGGGGAGAGAGAGAGAGAGAGACAGAGAGAGAGAGACAGUGAGAGAGAGAGACAGUGAGAGAGAGACAGCGAGAGAGAGAGAAAGAGAGAGAGAUAGAGAGAGACAGAGAGAGAGAGACAAAGAGAGAGANNNNNNNNNNGUUUGCAUCCCUCUCUCCUUCCCUCUAUUCCUCCCUCUCUUCCUCCCUCUCUCCUUCCCUCUCUUCCUCCCCCUCUCCCCUCUCUCUCCUUCCCCUCUCCCUUCCCCUCUCCCUCCCUCUCUCCCUCCCUCGCUCCUUCCCUCUCUCCCUCCCUAUCUCCCUCCCCCCUCCAGACAUUAAUCAGGAGCUCACUGAGACACAGUCAUCUCUCAGAGGGCACUUGCUUAUUAUUCCACCACUCCAUCCUCGCCAGAGUUCUGCUCUGUCCAUCCUAAUUUAGGGAUGUUAUCAUCACAC
rnacentral:lncRNA from 13 species